rnacentral:ncRNA from 1 species
ACCAUCCUUUUCUUGGGGUUGCGCUACUGUCCAAUGAACAUUUAGUGAGGGCAGUACUAAUGCUUAGACAACAACAACAAAAAAAAAUGGGCAAAGAACUUAAAGAGAUAUUUGUGCAAAG